rnacentral:rRNA from 1 species
AAUGAACGCUGGCGGCGUGCUUAACACAUGCAAGUCGUGCGCGAAAGCGGCUUCGGCCGCUGGAGAGCGGCGAACGGGUGAGUAACACGUGGGUGACCUGCCCUCAGCUCUGGGAUAAGCCUGGGAAACCGGGUCUAAUACUGGAUAUGACUCCAUGACGCAUGUUGUGGGGUGGAAAGCCUUGUGCGGCUGAGGAUGGGCCCGCGGCCUAUCAGCUGUUGGUGGGGUGAUGGCCUACCAAGGCGACGACGGGUAGCCGGCCUGAGAGGGCGACCGGCCACACUGGGACUGAGACACGGCCCAGACUCCUACGGGAGGCAGCAGUGGGGAAUCUUGCGCAAUGGGCGAAAGCCUGACGCAGCGACGCCGCGUGAGGGAUGACGGCCUCGGUUG